GAUGAACGCUGGCGGCGUGCCUAAUACAUGCAAGUCGAGCGAACGGACGAGAAGCUUGCUUCUCGGAUGUUAGCGGCGGACGGGUGAGUAACACGUGUAUAACCUACCUAUAAGACUGGGAUAACUUCGGGAAACCGUAGCUAAUACCGGAUAAUAUUUUGAACCGCAGGGGUCAAAAGUGAGAGACGGUCGUGCGGGCACUUAUAGAUGGAUCCGCGCUGCAUUGGCUAGUUGGUAAGUUAACGGCUUACCAAGGCAACGAUGCAUAGACGAAGUGCGAGGGUGAUCGGCCACCCUGGAGGUUAGCCACGGUCCAGAGUCCUGCGGGAGGGAGCAGUCGGGAACGUUACGCAAUGGGCGAGAGCCUGACGGAGCAACGCCACGUGAGUGACGACGGUGUUCGGAUCGUAAAACUCUGUUAUUAGGGAAGAACAUAUGUCUCAGUAACUGUGCCCAUCUUGACGGUUCCUAAUCAGAAAGCAACGGCUAACUACGUG
rnacentral:rRNA from 1 species